rnacentral:misc_RNA from 1 species
CUUCACAAAGUCCAUCAGCAAAGGGGCAUCACUCACUGGCACAAUCCAACUCUAUAUGUUUCUCUAUAGAUAAAGUGAUGCAAUCUCCAAGAUCCAAUCAAUCUAUUGGCAGACCUAGAAACUCUUCUGCCCAUAAAAGAAGCAGUGAAGAAUUGACAUUUGGAGAUAUGGAACACACAAAUGAGAUUAUCAUGUCUCAUAGGAGCCCAAAACUCCAGAGAGGGGUUGGUAAUUAUCCAGGAACUUCGGGAAAUCCUGAUGAUAGUGGAAAAGAAAUGCACAGAGCUCAUGAUGAACUCAGACAGUGGAAAGAUAUUAAUUCCAAAUUUAUGGAUGAUGCAGAUGAG